rnacentral:misc_RNA from 1 species
UGGCUCUCGCAUCGAUGAAGAACGCAGCGAAAUGCGAUAAGUAAUGUGAAUUGCAGAAUUCAGUGAAUCAUCGAAUCUUUGAACGCACCUUGCGCUCCUUGGUAUUCUGAGGAGCAUGCCUGUUUGAGUGUCGUGAAAAUUCUCAACCUUUCAAGCUUUGAACUAAGCUUAGUUAGGCAUGGAUUUGGGAGCUUGCUGGUUAUAAUAAAUCAGCUCUCCUUAAAUGCAUUAGCAAGAUUGAUCAUUGACUUAUCUUUGAUAUGAUAAUUAUCUGUAUCAUCGAAUAAAUGCAAUGUUUUCCUUUAUGGAAAAGUCUAGCUUUCUAAUAGUCUUUCAAGACAAUAAAUGAUCAUUUGACCUCAAAUCAGGUAGGACUACCCGCUGA